UACGAAGGGUGCAAGCGUUGUUCGGAAUUACUGGGCGUAAAGCGCGCGUAGGCGGUUUGAUAAGUUGGGAGUGAAAUCCCGGGGCUUAACUCCGGAAUUGCUUUCAAAACUGUCAAGCUGGAAUAUGGUAGGGGACAGUGGAAUUCCUAGUGUAGAGGUGAAAUUCGUAGAUAUUAGGAGGAACACCAGUGGCGAAAGCGACUGUCUGGACCAUUAUUGACGCUGAGGCGCGAAAGCGUGGGGAGCAAACAGG
rnacentral:rRNA from 1 species